AAUUUCACGUUUGCAUUCACACUAGCUGAGUAGCGGGUUGGGGAACUCGACUGUAGCAUUCUCUGUUGUUUUUAUUAUAAAAGCGAGUGAGGACAAUAUAUAUAAUUAACUAAUGUGCGAAUUAGUUAAUUGGUAUUAUGUUUGUAUAGUUUGUGUUAUUUUCAAAAAAAAAACGGUAUAUCUCAUUCAAAUUACUUAAUAUUGGAAAACGGAAAUGGAAUGUGAAUGUUCGUCACUCGUCUGCGGCAAUUGCAUGCUACGUCUCUGGUUGCGGUGAUCAAGGCUGGAGUACCCCCUACGUCGAAAACUAUCGACGUCUCACAACGAUUUCGAACUUCAAAAGGGAAAACAAAAGCAAAUUUUGUGUAAAUUCUAACGUUUGAUCACCCCUGAUCGCAGAUUGCGUCUAUGCGGAAUGUGUUCCAGGAUAACGGAAAGCUACAGAUAUCGCGUAAAAAUGUUUCGUAAUUGGAAGCGCAGCUAAGCGUUGCGCUAGGACCGGACCGGCGAUUGGCAAUGUCGGGACGCGGGACCCAGAUUACCAGUUUGGCGUACACGGAAAGAUUCCCAAUUGGUGAACGAUGACGAUCUUGGUCAUAUACCCUUGCCCAAAUUUACAAAUUAAUCCUGCCAAUGCCACGCUCAGAUAGAUAUUUCCGGAUCAACAGAAAAGUUCCUGGCUAGGCUAUGUCAAAUAACUUUAUCGACAUUUGAUUUCAUGGUUAUAUUUAUUCUGGGACCCGGUUUCCUGUAUUUCAUUCAUUUCAACGGACAUAUUUGUAAAAUUAAAAUAUACAUAUUUAAUGACUAGUACCGUCCUAUGUGUUUUAAAAUAAACAUUAAAUUAUUAUGUCUCAAAACUAAUGUAGCCACACAAAUAAUAAAUGCAUUCCAAAAAUGACUUGAGGAUUGAAAAA